GAAUAAUAUACAACUAACUUUCAAUGUAGAUACAUGUCGCAAGACAUUUGUAUUAAGGAAGGCAUGGUUGUUGCUUAGGAGUUUUAGGACUUCCUUGGCCCAUAAAUAUCUAAAGGAUGACAAUGGAGAUUAUUUAGAGAAUCCUCCUAAUCAACCUCCUGAGAAGUAUGCAUCCAUUAUUAGUGAGGACAUUUGGAGACAAUUUAUUGCAAAACGUAUGGAAAAAACUUUCAAGGAAAAAAGCAUACAAAAUAAGAAAAGAGCAUCAAGCUCCAAGUACCCUUAUAGGGGCUCUCGUAAGGGGUAUGCUCGCAUAGAACAAG
rnacentral:sRNA from 1 species